rnacentral:rRNA from 1 species
AACGAACGCUGGCGGCAUGCCUAACACAUGCAAGUCGAACGAGACCCCUGACUUCGGUUGGCGGGUCUAGUGACGCACGGGUGCGUAACGCGUGGGAAUCUGCCCUUGGGUUCGGAAUAACUCAGAGAAAUUUGAGCUAAUACCGGAUGAUGACGUAAGUCCAAAGAUUUAUCGCCCAAGGAUGAGCCCGCGUAAGAUUAGCUAGUUGGUGGGGUAAAGGCCUACCAAGGCGACGAUCUUUAGCUGGUCUGAGAGGAUGAUCAGCCACACUGGGACUGAGACACGGCCCAGACUCCUACGGGAGGCAGCAGUGGGGAAUAUUGGACAAUGGGCGAAAGCCUGAUCCAGCAAUGCCGCGUGAGUGAUGAAGGCCUUAGGGUUGUAAAGCUCUUUUACCAGGGAUGAUAAUGACAGUACCUGGAGAAUAUGCUCCGGCUAACUCCGUG